UUAGAGUUUGAUCAUGGCUCAGGACGAACGCUGGCGGCGUGCUUAACACAUGCAAGUCGAACGGAAAGGCCCUGCUUUUGUGGGGUGCUCGAGUGGCGAACGGGUGAGUAACACGUGAGUAACCUGCCCUUGACUUUGGGAUAACUUCAGGAAACUGGGGCUAAUACCGGAUAGGAGCUCCUGCUGCAUGGUGGGGGUUGGAAAGUUUCGGCGGUUGGGGAUGGACUCGCGGCUUAUCAGCUUGUUGGUGGGGUAGUGGCUUACCAAGGCUUUGACGGGUAGCCGGCCUGAGAGGGUGACCGGCCACAUUGGGACUGAGAUACGGCCCAGACUCCUACGGGAGGCAGCAGUGGGGAAUAUUGCACAAUGGGCGGAAGCCUGAUGCAGCAACGCCGCGUGCGGGAUGACGGCCUUCGGGUUGUAAACCGCUUUCGCCUGUGACGAAGCGUGAGUGACGGUAAUGGGUAAAGAAGCACAGGCUAACUACGUGCCAGCAGCCGCGGUGAUACGUAGGGUGCGAGCGUUGUCCGGAUUUAUCGGGCGUAAAGGGCUCGUAGGUGGUUGAUCGCGUCGGAAGUGUAAUCUUGGGGCUUAACCCUGAGCGUGCUUUCGAUACGGGUUGACUUGAGGAAGGUAGGGGAGAAUGGAAUUCCUGGUGGAGCGGUGGAAUGCGCAGAUAUCAGGAGGAACACCAGUGGCGAAGGCGGUUCUCUGGGCCUUUCCUGACGCUGAGGAGCGAAAGCGUGGGGAGCGAACAGGCUUAGAUACCCUGGUAGUCCACGCUGUAAACGGUGGGUACUAGGUGUGGGGUCCAUUCCACGGGUUCCGUGCCGUAGCUAACG
rnacentral:rRNA from 1 species